UUCCCGGUGGCUCAACAAUAAAGAAUCUGCCUGCAAUGCAGGAGACUAGGGUUCGAUCCCUGGUUGGGAAG
rnacentral:tRNA from 1 species